rnacentral:rRNA from 1 species
CCUACGGGAGGCAGCAGUGAGGAAUAUUGGUCAAUGGACGAGAGUCUGAACCAGCCAAGUAGCGUGAAGGAUGACUGCCCUAUGGGUUGUAAACUUCUUUUAUAAAGGAAUAAAACGAGGCACGUGUGCCUUAUUGCAUGUACUUUAUGACUAAGGAUCGGCUAACUCCGUGCCAGCAGCCGCGGUAAUACGGAGGAUCCGAGCGUUAUCCGGAGUGAUUGGGUUUAAAGGGAGCGUAGAUGGGUUGUUAAGUCAGUUGUGAAAGUUUGCGGCUCAACCGUAAAAUUGCAAUUGAUACUGGCAGUCUUGAGUACAGUGGAGGUAGGCGGAAUUCGUGGUGUAGCGGUGAAAUGCUUAGAUAUCACGAAGAACCCCGAUUGCGAAGGCAGCUUACUAAACUGUGACUGACAUUGAUGCUCGAAAGUGUGGGUAUCAAACAGGAUUAGAUACCCGUGUAGUC